GUCUGAAUACCAUUCUGUGCUUCAAAAGAAGAAAAAAAACUCUCAGAAUUCAUGCAUGUCACUGUACACCUGGAUCAUCAUUCAUCCUGAGGUUCUCAUUGAUUGCAGAAUAUCACAUAGAAAAAGCUCAGAAGUCUCCAGAAAUGCUUGAAGAGGAGCCAGAAGCAGCAAAGAUCAGCAGGUCUGGAUAUGUUUAAGUUGAAGAGCUCUUCUACAGCCCUGCUUAUCUUCCUUCCCUUGGGAGAUAUGCACUAAGAAGAAAAGUGAACAUGAGACUUUGGAAGAACAAAUACAGCCAAAGGUGAAGGACUCAUGCUCCUACAGGG
ensembl:lncRNA